CAGAAAGCAAUUUCCUCAGAUCCUCAGAAACAAUCAAACUUUUCAUCAUGAAGCGAUGAGGAAAGGCUGUCACUGACCCUGACAGAGCAGGAAAUAGUACAGACGGCGCUGCUCUAUGAAGCAACCUGCCACAGCACCGGGAACCGACACAGGUUACGCAAAGAUCUCAUUUCGGUUUCCCUGUAACGUUAAGAUUGGCACUCGAGAAUCCGUAGCGAAAUGAAAUGAAAUCAUGGGACUUAGAGACUCCACAAGUCUGGAAUUUAAUCUCAGCACCUGUUACUCUGAUCUAGGGAUGAGGCAAAGACUUCGCUAAGUUAUGGCUCCAUGCAGGACAAAGGAGAAGAAAAAUGGUGGUGACCCAGCAAAGAGCACACGGGACCUGGGGUCGGUGCGGAGGAGGAAAACGGAGGCAGGUUGGUGCAGCUGGGCUGCUCAGGCUGCCUUGCUUUAUCGGACUAAUAAUGAAAGGCAGCGAGCGUGUCAGAGAGUGUGAGAGAAACAGAUCGAUAGGGAGAUAAAACUGAGAUGGAAGGAGCCGGCGAGGGGGCGGGGGAGAGAGCAAUAAACGCCACAGAGCAGCAGGGCUACACGUUAACCUGAUCAGAAUGCACCCUGCACUGGUGGCGGUGGACGCAUCAGGUGUCAGAGUGUGGCGAAGCGGACCUAAGCACAGGAACGGAGAGCUGAACGUAGGAAGGUGAUAGUUGUACCUUGCGUUGACGCUGCCCUGUAGUCCACCUGCACAGCCCCUGCUUGACCUUGUCAGCCCUUCUCCUCCUUCGAUCCCGCCGUAAGGAGAACCGCAGGCCUCGCUAUCUCUGAGAACCAUCACGGCCCUUCCCCACAUCCCGGCCACAGCGCUCGUGGCAGUACUGCGGGCGGUGAGCGACUUCCACGCCAUCCAAGUGGCGGGGCCGCCACCAUUCUAAGUCACACUUGCACCUCGGCCUCUCAGCACCGCUCCCCUCCUGCCGGCGGCCUCGGCGUGGAGACCAAGCUCUGACCCGGCCCCGAGCUCCGAGGAGCCCAACGGCGCGAAGCCGGGACGGGAACCCCCGGCCAGGACCGGGAGCUGCCCGCGGGACCUCCC
ensembl:lncRNA